CGCGGCCUAUCAGCUUGUUGGUGUGGUAACGGCGCACCAAGGCGACGACGGGUAGCGGGCCUGAGAGGGUGGCCCGUCACACUGGGACUGAGACACUGCCCAGACUCAUACGGGAGGCUGCAGUCGAGAAUCUUCCGCAAUGGGCGCAAGCCUGACGGAGCGACGCCGCGUGUAGGACGAAGGCCCUAGGGUUGUAAACUACUGUCACGAAUCAUGAAAGCUGCGUAGUUAAUAGCUGCGUAGUUGACGUCAGUUCGGAAGGAAGCACCGGCUAACUCUGUGCCAGCAGCCGCGGUAAUACAGAGGGUGCAAACGUUGUUCGGAAUUACUGGGCAUAAAGCGCACGUAGGCGGCGCAUCAAGUGCAUGGUGAAAUCCCACGGCUUACCCGUGGAACUGCUGUGCAUACUGGUGUGCUCGAGGACGGUAGGGGAGAGCGGAACUCUUGGUGGAGCGGUGAAAUGCGUAGAUAUCAAGAGGAACACCGAAGGCGAAGGCAGCACUCUGGUCCGUUUCUGACGCUGAGGUACGAAAGCCAGGGUAGCGAACGGGAUUAGAUACCCCGGUAGUCCUGGCCGUAAACGAUGGGUACUAGUUACUGGUCCUUCCUGUGGGAUCAGUGGAGAGGCAAAUGUGAUAAGUACCCCGCCUGGGGAGUACGG
rnacentral:rRNA from 1 species